UACGUAGGGUCCGAGCGUUGUCCGGAAUUAUUGGGCGUGAAGGGCUCGUAGGCGGUUUGUCGCGUCGGGAGUGAAAACUCAGGGCUCAACCCUGAGCGUGCUUCCGAUACGGGCAGACUAGAGGUAUGCAGGGGAGAACGGAAUUCCUGGUGUAGCGGUGGAAUGCGCAGAUAUCAGGAGGAACACCGGUGGCGAAGGCGGUUCUCUGGGCAUGACCUGACGCUGAGGAGCGAAAGCAUGGGGAGCGAACAGG
rnacentral:rRNA from 1 species